rnacentral:piRNA from 1 species
UCAAAAAAGAACCUCCCACUAUGGUCUGC